UACGGAGGGUGCAAGCGUUAUCCGGAUUUACUGGGUUUAAAGGGUGCGUAGGUGGGUCUGUAAGUCAGUGGUGAAAUCUCCGAGCUUAACUCGGAAACUGCCAUUGAUACUAUAGGUCUUGAAUUAUCUGGAGGUAAGCGGAAUAUGUCAUGUAGCGGUGAAAUGCUUAGAUAUGACAUAGAACACCAAUUGCGAAGGCAGCUUACUACGGGAACAUUGACACUGAGGCACGAAAGCGUGGGGAUCAAACAGG
rnacentral:rRNA from 1 species